rnacentral:rRNA from 1 species
ACAACACCUAGGAGGAUCCUGAGUACGGCGGAACACGAGAAAUUCCGUCGGAAUCCGCGGGGACCAUCCCGCAAGGCUAAAUACUCCCUAGUGACCGAUAGUGAACCAGUACCGUGAGGGAAAGGUGAAAAGCACCCCGGAAGGGGAGUGAAAUAGAUCCUGAAACCGUGUGCCUACAACAAGUCAAAGCUCGUUAAUGAGUGAUGGCGUGCCUUUUGUAGAAUGAACCGGCGAGUUACGAUUGCAUGCGAGGUUAAGUCGAAGAGACGGAGCCGCAGCGAAAGCGAGUCUGAAUAGGGCGAAUGAGUAUGUAGUCGUAGACCCGAAACCAUGUGAUCUACCCAUGUCCAGGUUGAAGGUGCGGUAAAACGCACUGGAGGACCGAACCCACGUACGUUGAAAAGUGCGGGGAUGAGGUGUGGGUAGCGGAGAAAUUCCAAACGAACUUGGAGAUAGCUGGUUCUCUCCGAAAUAGCUUUAGGGCUAGCCUCGGAAUUGAGAAUGAUGGAGGUAGAGCACUGUUUGGACUAGGGGCCCAUCUCGGGUUACCGAAUUCAGAUAAACUCCGAAUGCCAUUCAUUUAUAUCCGGGAGUCAGACUGCGAGUGAUAAGAUCCGUAGUCGAAAGGGAAACAGCCCAGACCACCAGCUAAGGUCCCAAAAUAUAUGUUAAGUGGAAAAGGAUGUGGGGUUGCACAGACAACUAGGAUGUUGGCUUAGAAGCAGCCACCAUUUAAAGAGUGCGUAAUAGCUCACUAGUCGAGUGACCCUGCGCCGAAAAUGUACCGGGGCUAAACAUAUUACCGAAGCUGUGGACUACACCAUUAGGUGUAGUGGUAGGAGAGCGUUCUAAGGGCGUUGAAGGUCGAUCGUGAGGACGGCUGGAGCGCUUAGAAGUGAGAAUGCCGGUAUGAGUAGCGAAAGACAGGUGAGAAUCCUGUCCACCGUAUGACUAAGGUUUCCUGGGGAAGGCUCGUCCGCCCAGGGUUAGUCGGGACCUAAGCCGAGGCCGAUAGGCGUAGGCGAUGGACAACAGGUUGAUAUUCCUGUACCAGUUGUUUUUGUUUGAGCAAUGGAGGGACGCAGUAGGCUAAGGAAUGCAUGCGAUUGGAAGUGCAUGUCCAAGCAAUGAGUCUUGAG